GUAGUUCUUGUAAUUUUUUCUUGAGGUGUCACCUCAACAGAGACUUAGUGACGGUGAAAGAUGUAAUUAGGAAACUUGCUUGUUGCGUGACAGGAACACGUGAGCUUAAUUAAAAAAAAUAUUUACGCAUACGUAUUAAAACCAUCGGGGUUUUGUAGAAACAGGGAUGAUUACAUCUGAAAUUUAAAGUUCUUGGUUAAGAAAAGGAUUAUUUUUGUGUUUUUUUUUUUUUUUGGAGUUCCUGGAAGUUCCCCUGAAUGCUCCUGUCAGCUGACUGACUGACGUGUCCUCUGCUGACCAUGCUUCUUUGAUGUGUAUAACAAUAGGCGCGUGUAUAACAAUUGGCGCGUAUAUAACAGUUAUAACAAGCUGUGAGCAUGUACAAACUGGUUUCUUCAAACCUUCUGUAAAUAUACUGCACAGUUUUUAAAAUAGAACUGCAUAGGUGUUCGUGAGGCAUAUGUCAUCCUGAAAUAGAUACCAAGAAUGAGCAGAAUAAGUUCUUGCUAAAAAUGCUUCUUUAAGGGGGCUUAGCGAUGCAAAAAUGAUCAUCAGGGAUUGCUUCCACUGUAGCUACCAACUACUGACUGGAAGAUCAGUUGUACACAUGAUUUAUGUUUCUCACCUCAGAAAUUCUACAUUAAAAAAGUUGGAAGGAGUGUUCUGCAGUGAACAGAUAGACACAUGAGAAAGUACUGCCACUCUGGAGUUUUAGUUGAAGAGCCUUGGGUCUGUCUGCAAGCCAGGACAUUGUUCGUGCAGAAUUGCUAAUCCGAGGAUUUCCCAAAGCCCCAGAGUAAACAAGCUUUGAAUAAACCUGACAGAAGGAUGGGAAAGAUUGUCAAGGCUCUUGCUCCAGAUCAGGGCUGCUAGGUGGGUGAAACUUGAAUGUUUUGGCUUCUUGUCAGUGGCAAAGGGCAUUUUGGGCACCCUCAACUUCCUUGGCGUCUGGGGACUCGUUGAGAGUCAGGGCAGGGAACUCUGUUUCAUUUCCAGAAAUAUAUCAGACUGUGAACAAUUAAAACAUCCUUUCUUCAGGAAAUUUAGCAGAGGUUUAAAAUACAGAUGUAAAUCCCUGAAAAGUUAACAGUCAAAAGCCUGACGCUGUCCAGUUCAACUGAAUGUACUCAGAUAUGACGGGCAGAACAUUUGAAAAUGUCACAUCUCAUGGAGAAACAGAACAACUGGCUUUUUCAGAGAGAACACUUCUCCCCCUUCUGUGAUUGCUGUUGCUAAUGUUUUUUAAAUGCCAGUUUUUCCCAGGAGGUAAGAGAGAUUAAAGAGCACCCACUUCUAAUAAUCCACCUGAAUGCUUGCUGCUAAAAUAUGGCCUGAAUUUGAGUAGAUGCUUCAUUGAGGCUUGCCGCCUGCCUUUGAUAUUUGGCUUUGCUGGCAUACAGUUUGAUUUUAAGAAUUCAUUUAAGAUAGAAUUUUCAAAGGUGUCAUCUAAGUAACCUAGGUGCCUGCAUUUCAUUCUGAGAGAGGCAUAAUCACUUGCAGCUGGAUUCUCUAGGGGUCUUUGAAAUCUAAAAAACAUUAUAAUUUUUUAAUCAGUUUUCAGAGGUCUUUCAGGAGACUGGAAUUUUCUUUACUGAGUUUAAUAGGGUAUGGGUUAAGUCCAAAGAAUACAGCGAUGCCUCCUCGUUUAUUUUUUUUCCUUUGCCUUUGACCUAGCUACAGAAUGAGACCUCUUUGAUGCAAUCUGUACCUUUCUGUACAGCGUUCUGUAGAGAAGUGCUUUGUAAAAUCUUGCAGUGGUGUGUAUAUUAUAAUGAUCUUUUUCAUCCUUCCUGCAGGAAGAAUUUGUCCUUUUUCAUUCUUUUAUACUAGAGGAAGCUAAUACGUACACAACUGAUGUUUUUGUGGAUGGUGAGGGGUUCAGUCCACCAGUUUCAUCAACAGCAAGGAAUUAUAUUAGAUGAAGAGACCUGAUUGAAAUUAUGGAAAAUAAUGACCUUUACUCCUGGGCUCUUUGGUCAUGUUUUCACUUCCACUUUGUCAGUAAACCAGCUUUGAAUAAAGUACUUAAAAAGAGGAAAAGAACGAAGUGCUGGUUUUGUUAUCUAGCUCCAGAAGUUUUAAAAACAAAUUGUUGUAACAGUAGAAAAGGUCAUAGCACACCUAAACAAGCCUGUGAGAUGGAUUGUAUGCUUUUCUUUCUUUCAAGUUCUGCAAGCAAUUAUAUUCAAAUAAACACCAACAUACCUGUCAUCUUCGUGAUACUGUGAAAUUAGUGGGUCUAAAUCACAUUUGCAAUGGGAGAAGUGUACAAAAGACUUUACAAGACCACAGUUUAUAAGGUAUUAUUAUGGCAAUGCAAACCACGGGUCUCUGUUCAUUGCUAACUUGAUGAAAUAAACCAGGUUGAACCACAACAUUUUUUUUGAGAGGGACAAGAAGUGGAAAAUAGCAAUUUUAUGUCAAGAUGUUUAAAUUAUGAUCAAUUCUUCUAUAUUUAAUCAAAUCUCUAUUAAAAUAGUUUUCAAGUACCUAAAACAUUUCCAAAUAUUUAGGCUUCCUUGAAAUGUUUUCUUCUUCCCAGGAAGGCUGGCUAAAGGUGUAACAUUUUUUGGUGUAUUUCCUAUUUCAGUAUUAAAGAAAAUGGGGGAGUGUUGUGUGAAGAAUGCAGACUGAAGAAACAGUAAACACAUUAUGAACUCAGUGUGUACUGGUUAAAUAAGUGAUAAGUAUUUCUGUUAGCCAGAAGGUGGUAGCAGAAUUCUGUAACAGCUCGGAAUUGUGUUCCAGCAGGCAUUCUCAAUACAAAGUGAUUUUGAAAUGCAGUUCAGAAAACAUAUUUUUUCUAGUGGCAGGAACAAAUAGCAUUGACAUUUUUUCAUUUGGCAGCGUUGUUGAGUAGAAAAGUGUCUGCACUUACGCCUGAGAUGUCAUGCGUUGGGAAUGCAUGUGGGAUCUGUUACUUGGUUUUUGUCUGUGUUUUUUUGCAAUUGUAAUUAUGGUUUUUACAGACUUUUUAAUGCCAAAGGGAGUCAUUUAUAGGCUGAAAUGACAAGGGAUAUGUUUUGCUCAUAGUAUCGCAAGACUGGAAGAUGUCAGUACCAUGAGAAGACCAGAUAGCACGUUAUUUCCAUCCAGAGGAACCCUGUCAGUCUUCCACAGACGUGAGCACAAAUGUGGAGAGCAUUCUCCAUUGGCUUGGGCUGAUGCAGCACCACAUUCAUGCUGUUAGCAUGCUUAACAAGUGUUACAUUUUCAAGAUGUGGAGGGAUAACUUUUAUUAGUUUUAUUAUUUUGUGGUGGGCUUGUGAUAUUGAUGUGACCCACUGCUAGGUCAGUUCACUGUGCAAAUAAAUAGCCGUUUGUAUUUCAGCAGAGACACUCUUCAUCGCCGAGAGAAACAAGCAAGAAAUUCAGGCUCAGUAGCACUGCCUGUCCUUCAUUUCCUUCUGAAGUACUGUUUCGCUGUUCUGAUGAUGCUCGGUACUCCUGUGCAGACUUUAAGAAAUUGUUCUGUAUCUUAGAAAUGGUUUCUAUGGUAACUCCGUGUGUUUUUUUAACUUAGUGGGCAGUUUGGAAAUGGAGGGAGUGGAGUUUUAACGUCACAUUAGGAAGACUCAAAGCGAUGAAAUAAGCUAGAAAAAUAGUGUUUGUGUUCGGUCUAUUUAUCGGUAAACUGAAAUAUCAGCUCAAGAGAGCAUCAGUCUCAGCAUCAGCCUGGCUAAUAAGGGAGGCAGUCCAGAGCUGCCAGAACUUACAGAAGAAAGCAAAGAAAAAGAAAGAGCCCCAAAGCAAGCCCUACCGCUGUUAACAUUUUGCAGCUAGCGGCCUUUUUAGAAUUGGCAGCUUUUUACAGUGCCUGCAGCUUUCAUAGUCUCCUCCUGCUGAAGUUUCUGACAGAGAAAAACACUCACCAAAGAUUACAACAACAGAGUGGUAUUUCAACGUGCUGCUCUCCCCAUUUUCAGUUCUUCAUGUUAUAAAUACAAAAUUAUGGCAGUAUGUGUAGGGCAGUAUGUGGUAGUGGUAUCGGAGCCUCAACAAUUACAGAGAUGAAGAAAUUGGUUGAGCUUAUUUAGAAUGCAGCAAAUGAUUGUAGGAGUUACAAAUAAUGGGUAGGUAUAGAUACGGAUAUUGAUACAGGUCUACAAAGCAUGGUUAAAAAGAAGGUGUAUGUGUAUACAGUGUGGCAAGCAUGCAAAGAUACAUAGAUAAUCAUGAAGUUCAGGCAUCUGUUUUGCACAUGCAAAGAAAGCGUAUUCACAGGUAAGGGGUGCUUUAGGCAAAAACUUGGGUGUUCCAAAGUUGUCAAGGUUAAAAUUGAGCGUAAAAUUACCUGGGAACACCUGGGCAUUUGAAAAACCUCAGGGUAGUUUUUCCAAUAUCCCUGUCUUUCUCUGUUGAGGCAGAAGCUGGUAUAGGCAUAACCCAAAACAAACAUAACGAAAACACAAACAUUUGAAUAAUAAUAACAAAAAAUAGUAUAAUCUUGUUUCAAGAUCAUUGUCAUAACACCUACCUGUUCUCUGUAACUGUUUGACUUCAAAAGUUGGAGAAAAAAUGUUAAUUUUGGGGAACCAAAACUAUGAUAUGAAAUCAAAGAGAAGUGGUGAAGGAUGAUGUAAAGGAAAAAAAUGCUGUUAGUAGAGUGCUCUGUUUUUUUAUCUAUACUGGUACGUGCAAUACAUUAUCCUUCUGUUUCUUUACAAUAUAGAAGAAAAAAGACCACACUUAAAAAAUGCAUUGCAAAUUUCUUCAGCAUAAUAUGGCAAUGCACUUUCUUUCAAACGCACAUCGUACAAAAGCAGAAUUGCUGGAUAGAUGCAAGCGUUUUAGAAAUAAUAUAUAAUUCCUUUUUCUCCAAGUCUUUGCGUAGUUCUAAUGAAACCCAAGGAUGUUCCCAUUUGCUUUAAAUUGAUACUUGGCAUCUCCGUUGAGAUUACUGAAUGUUAUUUUAUCUUCAUACAGUGCUGAAUGACUGCUGGAAAAUGGAGAUUCUUUUAAGAUGCCUUGUGUUGCACACCAAAUUAAUUGGGGUAUCUGAACUCUAUUAGUCAUCUGAAACAUCUUGGUCUCUAUUUCCUGCUCUUACUGACUUAUUAAUGUGGUUGGAGCAAGAGAGUAAGAGGGCAGAGAAGAAAAUGUCAGUGCAGUUAUUUGCAGCUAAUGCUUCCAUCUGGAGUGCAGGGAGCACUGCUCCUUGCAAAGAGGCUGGGAUGCACCAACCUUCUGUAGAGUGGGAAAGAAGAGUGUAGAAAUGAAGUGAAAACCCUAUUGUAGUAAAAUGUGGAAAAGACAAUAGUAGAAAAAAAAUAUAAAAGGUCAAAUUCACUGUGCCUAACUUUAGCUAUGAAAAGGUUAGGCAUCUAGCAUAAACCAACCAUUAAGCUAUCCUUAUAGUCUGUGGAGGGAGUGGCGCUUUUGUACUGAUUUCUCCAAUCUGGUUUUGAUACUUGCUCAGGAAGGCAAAGCCUAUGCCAAACCCUUUGAAAUUCUGCUCCCUUGUUGACAGCGAGAGACCAAGCGAGGCUUGAGGAGGCCCAACUGCUACUUGUCCUCCACACUGCUCCUAUUUCCCUUUAUGCUGUAGCACUGAUGGAAGGGAAAUCUGUAGCCUGCGUCUAUUUAACUGUAAAUAAAUGGAUGUGUCAGUCAGUGAGAAAUUUUAAAAAGAAGGAGGAAAGCUGUGCAAUUGAUCAUAUGUAACAAGUAUGAGAAACUAAGCUCUGAAACUGCUGACACUGAUCGUAUUGUCAAGCAUGAGUAAUUAGAAGUAGGACUGGCAAAACCAGAGUACUUGUAAUUCAGGCUGCCUGGCUGGACUCACAGUUCUGCAAAGCAUGAUGUGAAUAGUCCUGUGAUUAGCUGCUUAAGCCUAAAUCCAUAAUAAAAGUAAUGAGUUGUUGCAUAAAGUGUAUGAGCGGGCAAUCCAUUGCUAAAAGUCUAGAAGAAAGUAUGAAAAGUAUCACUUGUGGAUGAUACCAAGUUGGGUGGGAGUGUUGAUCUACUUGAGGGUAGGAAGGCUUAGCAGAGGGAUCUGGAUAGGUGGAUCGAUGGGAUGAGUCCAGUUGUGUGACACCCAACAAGGUAAGUGCUGGGUGCUGCUCCUGAGACACCACAACCCCGUGCAGCGGUAUGGGCUUGGGGAAGAGAGGCUGGAAAGCUGCCUGGCAGAAAAGGACCUGGGGGUGCUGGUCAACAGCUGGCUGAACAGGAGCAAGUGGUGUGCCCAGGUGGGUAAGAAGGCCAACGGUAUUCUGGCCUGCAUCAGAAAUUGUGUGGCCAGCAGGAUCAGGGAGGUGAUUGUGCCCUUGUGCACGGCACUGGUGAGGCUGCACCUCGAGGCCUGUGUUUGGUUUUAGGCCCCUCACCACAAGAAGGACAUGGAGUUGAUCAAGCACAUGCAGGGAAAUUCAGUGAAGCUGGUGAAAGGACUGGAAACGAGUUAUGAGGAGCAGCUGAGGGAACUGGGGCUGUUUAGUCUGGAGAAGAGGAGGCUCAGGGGAGGCCUCAUUGCUCUCUACAGCUACCUGAAAGGAGACUGCAGCGAGGAGGGUGCUGGUCUCUUUCUUCAUGUGCCAAGUGGUAGGAUGUGACUAAAAGGGGAGGUUUAGAGUGGAUGUUAGGGAGAAUUCCUUCACAAGAGAGGGUGAUCAAGCAUUGGCAUAGGCUGCCCGGGGAGGUGCUGGAGUCCCUGCCCCUGAAGAUAUUUAAUAGGUGUGUGGCCAUGGCUCUAAGGGGCAUGGCUUAGUGCUGGGAUUCUUUAGGUCAUGUUGAUGGUUGGACUUGAUCUGAAUUAUUCUAUGAUACUAUGAUCAAUAUUUUUUGUGUAAGAGAAUCCAGAGGUCCUUGUCUUCAGAUUCUUGUUGGAGAACAGACCCUGGUGGGCCUAAGUGACCUGCACACUGACCUUAGACCACAGAGACUGUGGAGCGGCUCUUCUGGGUGGAUGCCCAUCUGUAAAAAAAAAAAAAAAAAAAAAAAAAAAGUGAUAUGAUGGCCAUGACUGCUUUAGGAUUAUCUCGGCACCGUAGACUGAGCUCUAAAUGAGACCAGUGCCCUGAAGGAUUUAUAGUGGCAACUAUGCACAUAUGAACCUCACACUAUGUAGUCUGAGCACAGCAGCACCUGCCUGAGGAUGGAUUCCUGGUCUAGAAUAGCCGACACAUUCAAUGUAAAAGAUGAUGACAUUAUGUGGGAUUAGAUUGACAAUAUAUUUUCUUAAUUUGUGGUUUGUCUGUUUUUUUCCCAGAUUGUUGCUCAGAUCUCUACAGUUGAUGGCAGUUUCCUCUCCAUGUCAUUUGCCUUUAUUACGGUGUGCCACAAUCACUGCUAAACAUCCCUAUAUAAAACUAUAGCAGCGAUCAAAAUAUUUAUCUACACACUACAGCCUGUUUCUGAGAUGAAGGUGAUGAGGGCUACUGCUUGUUUGUCCGAGGCUACCAAUAAACACAGUGUGAUUCAUGCAAAACUGCUCGAGGGAUGGCUCAACUCCAAAAGCACAGUUUAGCCAUUAUUUGGCAGUUGUUUGCUUAAUGCAGAAAAAAUGUCUAUGAAAACUAUGAAAAAUGAAUCUGUGCUGUAACACACUGCUUGUAAAAUCCACUUGAUUUAUCCUGCAGAAGAUAUUUCAGCAUAAAGGAGUAAUAAAGACAA